UGUGCCCAGGGCCACAGGUAACCCAAGACAUUCAUUUAUCUAUUUUUCACUAAGAGAUAGAUAAAUGAAUGUCUUGGGUUACCUGUGGCCCUGGGCACA